CAGCCCCUCGAGUGGUGGGGAUGAUUAUUUGGCCUAAAGCGUCCGUAGCCGGCCGAGUAAGUCCCCCGUUAAAUCCAACGUCUCAAGCGUUGGACUGCGGGAGAUACUACUUGGCUAGAGAGUGGGAGAGGUCAGCGGUAUUCUGGGGGUAGGGGCGAAAUCCUUUGAUCCCCGGAGGACCACCAGUGGCGAAGGCUGCUGACUAGAACACGUCUGACGGUCAGGGACGAAAGCUGGGGUAGCGAACCGGAUUAGAUACCCGAGUAGUCC
rnacentral:rRNA from 1 species